rnacentral:lncRNA from 1 species
UGUCUGCUGACUUGGCGAAGCAUUAAAUGAGGCAGGGGGUGUGCUGCUACCGUUUGGAAGGUUGAGGUUUUCUCAUUCGGUUGGAUCUGGCCUUCACUCCCUACUUGCUGAUAAGGGGUGACUGUAGCGGGUUUCCCUUGAUAUGUCCUUGCCUCGGCGGAAGCAUGGUUGUAAGCUUGUGCCAUCACCUCAGAGUAAGUCUUCCAAGUGUUGGCAUUGAUCAUGUACUUAAAAAAACAGUCACGUAAGCCUGCCGUGAAGGCCUUGAGGGCAGUCUUGUCAUCUGCCUCAGCGCAACGAGAAUACUC